CUCUUCGAAUUAAUUAUAUAUAGAAAGCAUUGACACGGUGGAUAUAAGUGGGAGUCUAACUAAACCCCAGGAGGAUCAAGCCACUGAAAUUUGCUUGUCAAUGGAAACGGAAACAUACGAGUCUGAAGUCUCAGACAUCACAGACAAAGCUGAAGAAGUCUUAGAGUGUGAUCACUACAAACAAAAGAACUAUUUGAUGCAAGGUAAAUAUCAUAGAACUUGUGUUCUUCGUUCGAAUCAAUACGCAUUCAACUCUAUAUAUUUCUCGCGAUAUUUCUUUGUUGACUAGUCAUUGCAGUCUCCAUUUUGGUUAAUACUAAAUUACCGGAUUUCAGUUUAUGCAUGUUCACUACAUGGUUUGGAUUUUUUACUCGUUCUGCGAAAUUUGUUUUUCAAUUCAAGAGAGGCACGAAGGGCGAAACAUAUAAAUAGAAGUCUGAUAAUUGUCUAGAAUGUGUCCCUAAUUCUUUAUUCUUCUUUAUCAUGUUUAUAUUAUACGUUUUGUGUCUGUUCUAGCUGUUAACAAUACAAGCCUCUUAGAUAUGAGAUGAACUUUACAUUGCAUUAAAAGAGGCCUUCUAUUACAAAGGUCUGAAUGGGAUUACGGAAUAGAGAAUAAUGGUAAAAAUGAUCAAAAUAAAGUGUUCUAAAUAGCUAUAGAGACUAUAUUGAUAUGAGUGCAUCACUGAUGAGUCUUUUGUAGACGAAACGCGCGUCUGGCGUAGUUAAUGAUAAUCCUGGUACCUUUAUCAAAUAUUAUUCUUUUACUUUUACAGAGCAACAACAAAAAACAAAAGUCGGAUUGUCUUUCAGAUUUAGACUGAUUGGAUACUUCAGAAAGGUAAGGUAUUUCAUUCUUCAGAAAGGUAGUAUUUUUUAACUUCCGUAAGGGUAAUUUUCUUCCGAAAGGUAAUAUUUCAUUCGCCCAAACGAUAAGGUAAUUUAAAAAGUUUUUUUCCGAAAGGUAGGUUAAUUUAGGUAUUUUAUUCUUUCAAAAGAUUCGCUACAUGUAUAUUAAAAAAUACUGUAACAGACCAUUCAUAAUGUUCAUCGAUUAUGUUAUUCGAUUUCAAUUUUUUUUACUAACAGUUAGUUAAUACAAAAACAGAGAUAUUGUUGUAAUUUCCUAUUAUACAGUAAAGGAAGGUCAAAGAGGUCAUGACCCCCUUUAAGGUCAAACAUUAAAGUUUGUGUACUUCACAUCAUGUUUUCAAUGUUGACUGCGGGUUUCUGUUGGUUUGUUAUUUAUAUCACCUCCCCCUUUUGAAAAAUACUAAAUCCUCAUCUGACCUUAUACCCCUGCCCUGAAGCUCAAUCUCAAAAGAGACGGUCUAAAUAUGGAUGGAUGGAAAACGAAGUUGUUUGGGCGGGGGUCUUCGUGUCUUUUAAUUUGUUUAUGUCAUUUUCUCUUUUCUUUAUUAGUUUUACUAUUAAUUUAUUCGUUUUGGUUAAAUUUUAUGAACCAAAAUAUUGUCUGUUCAUAAAUUAUUUGACCCUUUUUCUGUUCUAAAAUUAAUUGACCCUUCUUCUGUAUUCCUUAUUCUGCAGACCAUUAUUCUCAAUUCUGUGAUAAAUUCAUCAUAUAAACAAGGAUUCACAUUUUGGUAUUAGCGUUCAACAUCUUUAUAAUAUUAUACAUCUUGUUAUUGUUUCAUUAAUUUCUAAAGAUUUACGGACAAAAUUAGCACGUUUCGUCUGCAAAAAACUCCUCAGUGACGUUUAAAUUAAAAUAAGUUAAAAAGGCCAAAUGAAGUUCGAAGUUGAAGAGCAUUGAGGACCAAAAAUUCCUAAACGUUUUAUCAAAUACAUCAAUUCCUGAUGUAGAAAAGCCAAAUAAUAUUCCAAAAAUUUGUAAACAGUUAAUUUAUAAUUGGAAUUGAAUCAAUGAUAAUUCAUGUCAACACAGAAGUAAACCCCUUUAAAGUAUACUAUUGAAAUUUAUUGUAUAUUUUAACAUUUUCAGCUUUAUCAUGUACAUCUUUUGAAUAUUCAUUUUAUUAAAUUUACUGUUUGCAAAAGUAUAAAUUACUCUAAAUUAUAGGGAUUUUCUGGUAACUUAACAGAAAACCCUUGCCGUUUUUGGCACAACCUUUUGAUCUUUUGGUCCUCGAUGCUGUUCAACUUUGUACUCGUUUCGGCUUUCAAACUUUUGUAUCUGUGCGUCACACAUAGGUCUUGUGUGGACAAAAUACACUUCUGGCGUAUUAAAAUUUUGAACUUGUUGCCUUUUGUUGGCUGUUGUUCGUGUGAUUCUUUGUCAAUUGUGUUCUCCAAUUUAUUUAUAUUGUAGUCCUGUGUUGUCAUUUUGAUGUUAUAUUUCACAUGGCCAUAAAAGUGCGAGGUUUGGCAUGCCACAAAACCAGGUUCAACCCACCAUUUUUUCCUUUAAAAAUGCCCUGUACCAAGUCAGGAAUAUGGUCAUUGUUAUAUUAUAGUUCGUUUCUGUGUGUAUUACAUUAUAACGUUGUGUCGUUUGUUUUCUCUUAUUUUUGAGUGUAAAUUCACAUUGCCGAUAAGACGUGUCACGGUACUUGUCUAUCCCAAAUUCAUGUAUUUGGUUUUGAUGUUAUAUAUAUAUGUUAUAUUUGUUAUUCUCGUGGGAUUUUGUCUAUAUGUGUUACAUUUUAGUGUUAUGUCGUUGUUCUCCUCUUAUAUUUAAUGCGUUUCCCUCGGUUUUAGUUUGUUAUCCCGAUUUUGUUUUUUGUCCAUGGAUUUAUGAGUUUUGAACAGCGGUAUACUACUGUUGCCUUUAUUUAACGAUAUUUAAUUUCAGAAGUUUGGGUCUUCCAAAUAUAAGAAGGAAAUAAAAGAGAAAAAUUAUAAAGAAGGUAAAAGAACUAUAUAUAUUUUUUUUGUCUUUUAAUUAGUUUAUUUCAAAUAAUAGAAAGAAUAGCAUGAUAAUUUGUAUGUGUCUUUAUAGGGGUUGUAGAAUUUUAUUCUGCAUUUGAGUCAUGAGGUCAGUUUUUAAACGAUCAAAAGGUCAUAUGUCAAUUAAAGUGAGACGUGAAGUUAGAUUUUACCAUGUUCGAUCCACUCACGGACAGGUGUCGGUGAAUUGAACAUCAUAUCACAACUCAUACUUUCUAUGUCACUGAAUAUCUUGUUAUUAUGCCAGGGAGGAAAUUGGUAUUUGGUUGUGAACUUGCGCGUGAAAAUCUAACACAAUCCAUCAUCUAGUGCAAUACAGGAUUUAUAUUUACUAAACUAUCCCCUUGAAUGUGCAUUUUAACUCCACCUGGCGUGGCGGUUAACAGCCGUAUCCGUCCAUCAUGAAUGAAUAACAGCUGUAUAUGUAUUCAGAUGAAAACUGAGGUAAAAACAAUUAGUGUUACCGACUUUGUUUUGUCACUUAAACAACCACAGUUUCGUACUAUUUAUUUUUUAUGAAGUAUCUUUAAUUUCAAUACAUUUUGUAGAUAAACAUAAAGUAAUAAGUGUUUUUCAUGUUUCAGGAAAGAGAAAAGAAUCAAGAUAUAUGUCAUCCAUCGACAUAUUAAUUUGUUGCGGAUGUGCAUAGCUAUGUAA
rnacentral:lncRNA from 1 species